UACGGGGGGGGCAAGCGUUGUUCGGAAUUACUGGGCGUAAAGGGCGCGUAGGCGGCCUGCUAAGUCGGAUGUGAAAUCCCUCGGCUCAACCGAGGAACUGCAUCCGAUACUGGCGGGCUUGAAUCCGGGAGAGGGAUGUGGAAUUCCAGGUGUAGCGGUGAAAUGCGUAGAUAUCAGGAAGAACACCCGUGGCGAAGGCGGCUCUCUGGGACGGUACUGACGCUGAGACGCGAAAGCGUGGGUAGCAAACAGG
rnacentral:rRNA from 1 species